rnacentral:lncRNA from 1 species
UACAAAGCCCCCACACCAAAACCGUGCCUGGCUCAUAGGAGAGCGAGCAAGCAGGCUUCAGAACAGGAGACCUGCCCCUCUCACUUCCUGCCAACACACAGUAAGGCUGGGCUGGUUUAUUUUCCACAUCAGUUCAAAGAUCUCUCCCUCCUAUUUUGGGGAUGCUGAGCUGGCCUAGGUGCGACUAGCCUUGGGAUGUAGUGUGGGGGAGGGCACAGACAAGCCAAUGGAGCCACCUCCUCUCUCUCAAAGCCUCCGGCAGCCGCUGGAUCUUUAAAAAGAAACACAAGUGGGAGAAGUAGGUCACCCCUGCUGCAGCUCAGCCUCUAUUCGCGACUGUUAGGCAGGAGGAGCCGAUGGAGUCCAGGUGCCCCCCUUCAUGGCGCUCACCAGCCCUGACCUGGGGAAAGUCUGAAGCUGGAGGAGAAUCAAAUUCAGGUUUUGGUGAGUCACACAGCCCUGGCUUCAAACUAUUCUGGUGCCUGUUAGCUGUGUGAUCUUGGGUAAGUCACUUAGCCUUUCUGUGGUUCAGGUUCCUCAUCUAUAAAAUAGGGGUGAAUUACAGAAGCAUCUCUAGAGUCAAGUUCUAAAGCAAGGGCAAUGUUCAUACAGUGAACGUUAACCCUGACAUUAUUUAAAACAGCUGCCAUUGCUUUUCCGGGUGAAGCAGUUGGCCUGUAUUUGGGGGCUGUGUUUGAGACAGGCUGACCUUUAAACGCGGGCACAUGGGGAGGAGAUGCUCAGGCAGGGAGGCUGUUGUAAACUGAGAGGUGUUUGUCUCCCAUCUCAGAUUCACAGUUGGGCAUCAGCUGCUUGAGUUUCUUUUUUGCACUGAGCGCUUCUGGUUGCAUUGAAGUAAGCUUGCCCUACACAGGGCUGUUGUGAGAAUUACAUUUGGAAACAUCCUGACAGGCAGUAGGUGCUUACGAAAUACGAGGGGAAAGUCUGGAUUCGGGACUCAAAUCCACCAGCUGGGGAGAGGAAAAAAGACUUCCGCCAUCACGCGAGGGCCCAUCCAGUGGACCAUUCAGGCAGCACGGGCCACUGUAUUCUGCCUGACUCCCUCGCCACGGAGGCUUGCGCAGGGCCGCUGGAAACUUGGCACAUUAAAAGAAGGGGAGCUGACCGACGUGGAGAUCUAGCUGCUCGUUUAGGGAGUCUUCGAGUGGAAUGAGGUGGCAGCCGACCCUUCCCAAGCCUGGGAGGCCCCAGCGCUUGGCAAGAGUGAUCU